UACGAGGGGGGCAACUGUUGUUCGGAAUCACUGGGCGUAAAGGGAGCGUAGGCGGGUUUCUAAGUCAGGUGUUUAAUCCCGGGGCCCAACCCCGGACAGGCACUUGAAACUUGGAAUCUUGAAUAGUGGAGAGGUCAGUGGAAUUGGGGGUGUAGCGGUGGAAUGCGUAGAGAUCCCCAAGAACACCAGUUGCGAAGGCGGCUGACUGGACACAUAUUGACGCUGAGGCUCGAAAGCAUGGGGAGCAAACAGG
rnacentral:rRNA from 1 species